rnacentral:rRNA from 1 species
CCCUGCAGUUCUCGCCUGGUUUCCCACCGAAGCUAAGCCAGUACCUGGAUGGGAGACCUCAUGGGGAAAUCGAAGGUUGCUGCUGGGA